GACGAACGCUGGCGGUGUGCUUAACACAUGCAAGUCGAACGGUAAGGCCCUUUCGGGGGUACACGAGUGGCGAACGGGUGAGUAACACGUGAGUAACCUGCCCUCAUCUCUGGGAUAACAGUCGGAAACGGUUGCUAAUACUGGAUAUGAGCUUGCAAGGCAUCUUGUGGGUUGGAAAGAUUUUUUUGGUUGGGGAUGGACUCGCGGCCUAUCAGCUUGUUGGUGAGGUAGUGGCUCACCAAGGCUUCGACGGGUAGCCGGCCUGAGAGGGCGACCGGCCACAUUGGGACUGAGAUACGGCCCAAACUCCUACGGGAGGCAGCAGUGGGGAAUAUUGCACAAUGAACGGAAGUCUGAUGCAGCAACGCCGCGUGCGGGAUGACGGCCUUCGGGUUGUAAACCGCUUUCAAUUGUGACGAAGCUUUUUGUGACGGUAGCAGUAGAAGAAGCACCGGCUAACUACGUG
rnacentral:rRNA from 1 species